GGCCAAGGCGCCUGCGCGGGGGGGGGCGGAGCCAGAGGCGCUUAAAGGGGCAGCGCCCUGGGAAAGGCUCGAUGCUGCCACCUAAAGGAAGGUGGAGGUCGGGACGGCGCUGUAGGGAUCCACGAUGAGCUUGGCGCACCGCACCAUCAUGGCCAGGAGGAAGAGGCACAUGAGGACCACGAAGGCCACGGCAAAGCCCUUGUCCAGGUCGACGGCCGGCGGUGCCGUGGCGUUCUCCAUGCGGGCGGCCCUCAGGACCCCUCACUCCCAGCUGCAUUAGGUGCAACGAGCUUGGCUGACCUCCGGCAAGACAGAC